UGUUUGAUGUUCUAACGUGGACCCGUGAUCCGGGUUGCGGACAGUGUCUGGUGGGUAGUUUGACUGGGGCGGUCUCCUCCUAAAGAGUAACGGAGGAGCACGAAGGUUGGCUAAUCCUGGUCGGACAUCAGGAGGUUAGUGCAAUGGCAUAAGCCAGCUUGACUGCGAGCGUGACGGCGCGAGCAGGUGCGAAAGCAGGUCAUAGUGAUCCGGUGGUUCUGAAUGGAAGGGCCAUCGCUCAACGGAUAAAAGGUACUCCGGGGAUAACAGGCUGAUACCGCCCAAGAGUUCAUAUCGACGGCGGUGUUUGGCACCUCGAUGUCGGCUCAUCACAUCCUGGGGCUGAAGUAGGUCCCAAGGGUAUGGCUGUUCGCCAUUUAAAGUGGUACGCGAGCUGGGUUUAGAACGUCGUGAGACAGUUCGGUCCCUAUCUGCCGUGGGCGCUGGAGAACUGAGGGGGGCUGCUCCUAGUACGAGAGGACCGGAGUGGACGCAUCACUGGUGUUCGGGUUGUCAUGCCAAUGGCACUGCCCGGUAGCUAAAUGCGGAAGAGAUAAGUGCUGAAAGCAUCUAAGCACGAAACUUGCCCCGAGAUGA
rnacentral:rRNA from 3 species